rnacentral:rRNA from 1 species
AUUAGAUUAAAAACCAAUGCCCUUCGGGGCUCACUGGGGAUUCAUGAUAACUUCUCGAAUCGCAUGGCCUUGUGCCGGCGAUGGUUCAUUCAAAUUUCUUCCCUAUCAACUUUCGAUGUUUGGAUAGUGGCCUACCAUGGUGGCAACGGGUAACGGGGAAUUAGGGUUCGAUUCCGGAGAGGGAGCCUGAGAAACGGCUACCACAUCCAAGGAAGGCAGCAGGCGCGCAAAUUACCCAAUCCCGAUACGGGGAGGUAGUGACAAUAAAUACUGAUACAGGGCUCUUUUGGGUCUUGUAAUUGGAAUGAGUACAAUCUAAAUCCCUUAACGAGGAACAAUUGGAGGGCAAGUCUGGUGCCAGCAGCCGCGGUAAUUCCAGCUCCAAUAGCGUAUAUUAAAGUUGUUGCAGUUAAAAGCUCGUAGUUGAACCUUGGGUCUGGCUGGCCGGUCCGCCUCACCGCGAGUACUGGUCCGGCUGGACUUUCCCUUCUGGGGAACCCCAUGCCCUUCACUGGG